rnacentral:rRNA from 1 species
AACCCGACUCCAUGAAGCUGGAUUCGCUAGUAAUCGCGCAUCAGCCACGGCGCGGUGAAUACGUUCCCGGGCCUUGUACACACCGCCCGUCAAGCCAUGGAAGCCGGGAGUGCCUGAAGUGCGUGACCGCAAGGAGCGUCCUAAGGCAAUACCGGUGACUGGGGCUAAGUCGUAACAAGGUAAC